rnacentral:rRNA from 1 species
UACGGGGGGGGGCAAGCGUUGUUCGGAAUUACUGGGCGUAAAGGGCUCGUAGGUGGCCAACUAAGUCAGACGUGAAAUCCCUCGGCUUAACCGGGGAACUGCGUCUGAUACUGGAUGGCUUGAGUUUGGGAGAGGGACGCGGAAUUCCAGGUGUAGCGGUGAAAUGCGUAGAUAUCUGGAGGAACACCGGUGGCGAAGGCGGCAUCCUGGACCGGCAUUGACGCUGAGGCGCGAAAGCUAGGGGAGCAAACGGG